GACGAACGCUGGCGGCGUGCUUAACACAUGCAAGUCGAACGGAAAGGCCCUGCUCUUGUGGGGUUCUCGUGUGGCGCGCGGGUGUGAAACACGUGUGUAACCCCCCCUUGACUUUGGGAUAUCUUCAGGAAACUGGGGCUAAUACCGGAUAGGAUCUUCUGCUGCGUGGGGGGGGUUGGAGAGUUUCGGCGGUUGGGGAUGGACUCGCGGCUUAUCAGUUUGUUGGUGGGGUAGUGGCUUACAAAGGCUUUGAGGGGUAGCCGGCCUGAGAGGGUGACCGGCAACAUUGGGCCUGGGAUACGCCCCAGCCGCCAACGGGAGGCAGCGGGGGGAAAUAUUGCACAAUGGGCGGAAGCCGGUGGCGGAAACCCCGCGGUCGGGAUAACGGCCUUCGGGUGGAAAACCGCUUUGGCCUUUAACAAGGCGUGAGUGACGGUAAUGGGUAAAGAAGCACCGGCUAACUACGUG
rnacentral:rRNA from 1 species